GAGAGAGAGAAGAGAGAGAGAGAGAGAGAGAGAACAAGAGAGCAGCAGCAGCAUUUUUAAUGCAGCAAAUAAUCUGAAACAAAAUGGAUACCCAUCAUUGAAAAAUGACUAUCAAAAUGAAAUGUGAUAUUACUGUGCCAUGAAACAUGACAAAUAUGAUGGAUUCAGAGAAACAGAAGAAGACUUGGAUGAAUUAAUAUAGAACAAAGGAGGUAAAAUCAGAACAAUUUACCAUAAAUGAUGAUAGUAAAGAGAAAGCAACGUUGAGACUUCAGAAUUCUGGUUGAUGCAGUAAUCAAUCAUUAAUUUGAUGAAGCAUAUAGCCCAGUCUUUGGCAAAGAGCCUGAACGGCGGGGGCGUGGUGAGUCGACAUCCUGAGUUUCACAGCUGUCAGGCUUAGUACAAGCUGCAGGGCAAACUUGGAAAGGGCAUCAGAGACCUUCUAUCUGCACCCAUAUUUACCUGAGAAAACACAUACAAAAUUCCCAAGUGGUUUUCUAGUCUCAAUGGGACGGAUUCUAGUGAAGAGGAGCACAACACUUUCUCAGAUGGUCCGUUCUACUGUGGACAGUUUUGAUCAUUAACAAGUAUUACUUCAUCCAAAAUACUCAGAUAGCUUUACUUCUUUGAUCAUAUUUGAUCUCGGAUGAUAAGUCUUGGGUUUUCUCACCGACAAUGUAGAUAAUAAUCCGUGAUCUACCCAUCCUCUGUGACUCUUGUCCAUGCCAAUUCAUGUUUUUGGUCCUGGGUUUCCACCCAAAGAUCUAUG